UACGUAGGGGGCUAGCGUUGUCCGGAAUCAUUGGGCGUAAAGCGCGUGUAGGCGGUCCGGUAAGUCCGCUGUGAAAGUCGGGGGCUCAACCCUCGAAUGCCGGUGGAUACUGUCGGGCUAGAGUGCGGAAGAGGCGAGUGGAAUUCCUGGUGUAGCGGUGAAAUGCGCAGAUAUCAGGAGGAACACCAAUUGCGAAGGCAGCUCGCUGGGACGUUACUGACGCUGAGGUGCGAAAGCGUGGGGAGCAAACAGG
rnacentral:rRNA from 1 species